CCCUCCACCUCUUUGUAGCACUACAGCUCUAAACAAACAGUGAUGCCCACCCACACUGACAGGAACCAUCUGCUCAGCUUAGUCUAAUUCAAAUCGUAAUCUCUUCCAGAAACACCCUGACAGACACACCCAUAUGUUUUACUAGUAUUUGGAAGUCUCUUAGCUAAGUCAAGUUGACAUAUGAAAUUACCCAUCAUGCUUGUGUCGAAAAUUUUCUUCUCUAGUCCACUCCUUUCAAAGCUUUGUCUUACCCCAGUGGCAUAUUUGACUUGCCAGCUAACUAUCUACCAAAUCAAUUACACAUGCAUCUCUGUCAGAUGUGUUCCUCAAGCCAAUUUAAUUCAUUGUUUGUGGUUUCAUUUUUCUCAGUUUUUUUUUUUUGCUGUCCUUAAAAGCAAUAUGUACCUAACAUAAUUUUUUAAUAAAACAACAGCAAAAUUAAUGAUUAAAGAUAGAAUUCAUGUAUACUCUGACUUACAGAUAUGAAGCAAUAUUUUCAUAUUUUUUCCUGUGCUCUCUCUCCUUUCUUCCUACCCCUGCUAGUCUUCCAUUGUGUUUUCUGUCCACUUUCCGUUCAAAUGAUUCCUCUACAUGUGCUGCUUCAGUCUACUUUAUAUUAUUUCAUACUUGCUGGAGUAGCUAAAUCAUUUUUAGAAGCAAAUUUCCACAGGCAAUUAAACAACCUAAAGGGCAGUUGAACAUUUUUUUUAUCUAAAAUAUAACAUUAAAAGAGACUUUUCCAGAGAGAGAAAGCUAAUUUUAAAGAAUUAAAAGCAUGUAAAAACAAUGUCACAUUAACCAUUUUAUUUUAUUUCUUUAGAAAAUGUAGUUAUCUUAAUAAAAAUCCAUUAGGGUCCAAGGAUAAAGAUCAGUCACAGAGCUCUUGUUUAGAAAGCAUAUGACAGGGAUAGCAUUUGAAAUGUAUAUAAAGAAAAUAUCUAAUUAAAAAUAAGAUAGACACAA
rnacentral:lncRNA from 1 species